rnacentral:piRNA from 1 species
UAAAUGUUGAGUCCCUGACCA